UCCCUGCGCCUCCUGUCCCUGCGGGUUUGUGGGGAUAGUGUCUGCGGGGGUGGAGGUUGCGAGUGGGGCGGCAGGGCUACCCCCAGGGACCCGGAGGCCUCGACCAGUUCUCAGAGAGAGAGGGCUCUGCAGCCAGGGAUGGCGGCGACGCCCUUGUCCCCGGGGGACACCAGCCUCCUCCGCAGCUCAGCUCCUCGCCCAGUGCUGGGUGCGCUCUCCCCAUUUUCCUUCCCUGAGACUGAUACUCCCUCCCCUCCCCCGGCCAUUUCUGGGGUUCUGCAGCCGUCCAGACCUAAAGUUUGUCCUGUUCUGAAAGUGGUGUUUGUUUUGGCUGCUGUCCGUUUUAACCUCUGCUCGCUGCUCCUGCCCCUCCCUCUCCUGAGUGGGCUCUCAGGGUGCCUUGCUGGGAUUUGAACUUGAAGGGUGUGUGUGUCUGUAGGGUUUGAGCCCAGGGCUGAAUAUUGUCCUCUCUAUGUGCUUGUGAUAUGUAUGUAUCUACUAUAUAUAACUGCCCGUAACAUAUUUGUAAAUAUUAAUAUUAAAUCGAAAACCUUAAUGACAAGUUGCAGAGCAGGGACACCGGACUGCAAGAGGACGUUUGUCAAGUCAAAGCCAAAUUUCCCAUUUGAGGCUAGAGGUGGACCUCAGAAGUUCACCAUGGGGAACAGCUGUAGUUUCCCAUCUUAUCAUUACUUGGACUUCAAAUAGAAUCGAAAAGUAAGAGGUGUCAUAGCUACCACCUUUUGGCUGUUCUAUACCUAGAAAAGGACUAGGGGAUGAGCCAUACCAGACGCUGUUUUUGUUUUUUGCUUUCUUUGGAGCUUGGAGAAAGACUACUUGACAAGCCCUUUGUCUGUCAUUUCAUGUCACCAGAACUUCAUGGUGAUAAGAUUGUUAAUAUCAGGUUCAAAACGUGAAAUGAAGCUUUUCCUAAAAGCAAUAGUAUGAAUGUUAUUAACACCAGUCGAAUAUUUAGAGUGACGAGUGGUAUUUUAAAAUCUAGUUUCAAAGGAGAUCUGAGGGUUUUACCACUUGCAAUGUCAUUGUGUUCGUUUGUAUUUUUUAAAAAAAUUACUUAAGACUACGUUUUAUACUGCUAGAGUGUGCAUAUGGCUAUAUGUUUGUGAGCAUAACUUUAGACACUUUGUAAUCAUUCACCUUUCUGAAUUUGGGAUUUCUGAAAAUAUAACUAGUAGUCACAGAACUUAGCAUGGCUGUUUGUCCCUAAAGAAGUCCUUGAUAUGUAGACAGUUCUACCAUUGCUGAUGAGUACUUGAGCUGUACCAGGUAAAGAGAAAGUCAGUGUCUUAAAACACAAACCAUGACUAUUACAUGAGGCCCUCAGAAUACUCCCGAGCAUAAUAUGUUUAUUCAGUGCUGUAGCUGCUUCCCAGCUGAAAGAGGAAUAAUUGACUGAGGCUAUACAGCAGUGACAGCUGGGUACCUAUUAAAUUUAUUUUGUUGUCAGUAAUGCAUCGGAUAUUAUAAGAGGAGGUGGGCAUAUUAAAUCUGAAUAUGUUGGUUGAUGCCUCCUUAGGGAUUGGGAAGAAGGAUAGCCUGUUGUUAGAACCCAUACUUUCUUGAGGUACCUAUGAUUUUAAGACCAAAGGCACAGUGCCUUUGCAUGAAUAAGAUUAUGUUUUUGAUGUCCAGUUGAAAUCUGCUUGCAAAAGACUGCUUCAAAUACUGACAAAAGGGGACAUCCCUACAAGAUUGCUUGGAGUGAAUCUCUCAGAGCUUGAAGCUCCCUUAUUCAGCCCAUGAAAGCAAACGCACAUCACCCCCUUUAAUCCAACAAAAUUACCAUAACUCAGUAUUCUUGGUACAGGUAAAAAUGAACAUUGAAGGCAAACUGGAUAUGUAAUCCUAAGAGAGUCAAAGUCAGCAACCAGCAAACACCUAAUUUUCACUCAUCACCUUGGUGCUGAGUGUAUGCUCCAUCCACUUUAAAUUCCAUCACCCCAUCAGUGUAUUAGCCAUUCUUUAAAACAAAUGUAGAUGUUUUUACCCUUUCCCUGUUAAUCAGGAACCUGUAAGUUGAGAUUUAAGUGGCCCAACAGGUAUAACUGCUCAAAUCUUGGAGGCACUAACAAGCCCUGGUAUUUUCUAUGGUAACAACCAGGUUUUCCUCUUAAUAAGCAUACAAUUAAGAUUACCAUAAUAAUGUUCCAGGAAGAGUGAGAAUCUUGCAGUCUUACAAGUAAAUGCUUAAUAAAAAUACCUGAUUUUAUUUGCUCCUUGGAGUAAAAAUAAACCACUAUACUUGUUACUUGGUUAUGGAAGCGAGCCUCUUAGGGUUUUUUCCCCAGUUGAGAUACACACACACACAUAUAUGUGUGUAUGAGAUAUAUGGCAUAUGUAUACGAAAUCUGAACUUUUAUUUUUUUGAGACUGAGUCUCACUCUGUUGCCCAGGCUGGAGUGCAGUGGCAUGAUCUCAGCUCACUGCAACCUCUGCCUCCUAGGUUCCAGCAAUUCUCGUGCCUCAGCCUCUUGAGUAGCUGGGAUUACAGGCACCCACCAUCACAUCCAGCUAAGUUUUGUAUUUUUAGUAGAGUCAGCGUUUUACCAUGCUGGCCAGGCUGGUCUCAAACUCCUGACUUCAGGUGAUCCACCUGCCUCAGCCUCCCAAAGUGCUGGGAUUACAGGUGUGAGCCACCGUGCCCAGCCUCAACAUAUUUUUUAAUAGACGAUUUUUUCAGAGCAGUUUUAGGUUCACAGCAAAAUUUAGCAGAGUACCCAUAUAUCCCCUGUCCUGACACAAGCAUAGCUUUUCCUACUCUCAACAUCCCACACCAGAAUGAUAGAGUUUUUUUACAAUUGAUGAACCUACAUUGACACAUCCUUAUUCCCUGAAGUCUAUAUAUUAGGGCUCACUCUUGGUGUUGUACAUUCUUUGGGUUUGGAAAAAUGUAUAAUGACAUGGAUCCACUAUUGUAGUAUCAUACAGAAUAGUUUCACUGCUCUAAAAAUCUGUGUUCCACUGAUUCAUCCCUCCCUCUCCAUUAACACGUGGCAACCACUGAAUUUUUUUUUUACUGUCCUAUAGUUGGAGUCAUACAGUAUAUAGGCUUUUAACAUUGUCUUCUUUCAUGUAGUAAUAUGCACUUAAGAUUCCUCCAUGUCUUUUUAUGGUUUGGUGGCUCAUUUCUUUAUAGUGCUGAAUAAUAUUCCAUUGUCUGGAUGUACUACAGUUUAUUCACCUACUGAAGGGUAUCUUGGUUGCUUCCAAGUUUGGGCAAUUAUGGAUAGAGCUGUUAUAAACAUCUGUAUGCAGGCUUUUUUGUUACAUGCAGGAUAUAAGCUUUUAACUCAUUUGGAUAAAUAGCAAGGGGAAUGAUUGCUAGAUUGCAUGGUAAGAGUAUAUUUAGUUUUAUAAGAAACUGCCAAACUGCCUUCCAAAGUGGUUGUACCAUUUUGCAUUUCCACCAGAAAUGAAUUGGUCUCUUUACGAAGUAUUUAUUUUCCUUUGCUGACUGAUUUUAACAGCAGGAUUCUAGCACUAGGUGGAAAACGUAUGUAAGUUUCUGAUGUGUGUCAGGUACUGUCCUAGGUGCUGAGGUUAUAAUAGUGAACCCAACACAAAUCUCUGUCUUCAUGGAGCUUAUGUUCCAAUGCAAAUGGUUUUAUACUUCAGAGUUUUUUUUUGUUGUUGUUGAGAAAAGACUUGAAAUAUAACAUUCAAAAAUAAAAUAUCAGCUGGGUGCAGUGGCUCACACCUCUAGUCCCAAUGCUUUGGGAGGCCAAGGAUGGGAGGAUUGCUUGAGGCCAGGAGUUUGAGACCAGCCUGGAUAACAUAGCAAGACCCUGUUUUUAUCUACAAAAAAUAAAAUAAAAUAGCCAGGCAAGGUGACUUGCACCUGUAGUCCUAGCUACUCUGGAGGCGGAGGCAGGAGAAUUCCUUGAGCUGGGGAGUUUAAGGUUAUAGCAAGCUAUGAUCACACCAUUGCUCUCCAGCCUAGGCAACAGAGCAAGACCCUGUCUCAAAAUUAAGUAAAGUAAGGCUGUCAAACGCAAACCAAAUAUGUGUCAAACCCAGACCUGAUUCUCAUCACAUGCCAUGCUUUCUAGUAAAAUGUGGGUCUUUGAAUACCAACAAAAUACUUUAUAACCUGGGAAAUCAAUCACUCUAACAUUUGUAGCUCUGUCUUGAAAUAUUAAACAAAACCAUUUACCUGUUCUUAGACAUAUUUUCUUUUUCUAGUUUAAAAGUGUUCCAUUCUGUCAUUUUCCACCUAGUGCUAGAAUCCUGCUCUUAAAAUAGGUCAGCACAGGGAAAUAAAUACUCUGUAGAGAGACCAAAAGACCUUUUAAAAUAGGCUAUGGCCGGGCCCAGUAGCUCGUGCCUGUAAAUCCAAGCACUUUGGGAGUCUGAGACUGGAAGAUUGCUUGAGCCAGAUGGCAAAACCCCAUCUACACACACACACACACACACACACACACACACACCCUACUUAAUUCUCUCUGGGGUACACCUGUAGUUCCGGAUAUUCUGGAGGCUGAGGUGGGAGGAUCCCUUGAGCCUAGGAGUUUGACGCUGCAAUGAGCCAUUAUGACACCACUGCACUCCAGCCUGGGUGAGAGAGUCAGACCCUGUCUCAUUAAAAAAUAAAAUAUCUACCUUAAAGCAGCAAGUUUUGUAUUUGAUGUAAUGAAUUAACAAACUAUAUAGACUGCUUUAAAAUAUCUGUCUUUUAGAAUAGUGUCUUAGUCUCUGGGAAUGCUGUGCAUAUUCCAAGUCAUCAUUAAAAUUAGUUUUCAUUUUCUUAAAAAAUUUUAAACAUAUAUACAUUUUAUUGGAGUUUUCUUUUAAAAUUCAAAAAUGAGAACAUUAUUUUUUCAAAGCCAAGUAACAGAAGAGUAUAUAAGGUCAAUUUGGUGCAUAUCUCUUUACAUUUCUUUCUAUGCUUAUGUAAAACAUACAUGACUUAGGUAAUUAUACACAUAUGCUCCCGAUCUCAUCUGUAUUAAAUUUUUUUGUUAUACUUUAAGUUCUGGGAUACAUGUGCAGAAUGUGCAGGUUUGUUACAUAGGUAUACACGUGCCAUGAUGGUUUGGUGUACCCAUCAACCCAUCAUCUACAUUAGGUAUUUCUCCUAAUGCUAUCCUUCCCCUAGCCUCCCCCCUACCCAAUGACAGGCCCCAGUGUGUGAUGUUCCCCUCCUUGUGUCCAUGUGUUCUCAUUGUUCAGCUCCCACUUAUGAGUGAGACAUGUGGUGUUUGGUUUUCUGUUAGUUUGCUGAGAAUGAUGGUUUCCAGCUUUGUCUAUGUUGGUUUUCAUUUUCAUGAUAGUCAAUUCUUGGACAUUAAGGGGAAUAAUUAUAAAACACAGCUUCCAUAUCAAGGGAAAUCACUGAUGGUUAAAAAACAACAGUAAGUGUUGUCUGGUUGUUUAAGCAGCUUUGAUUGAGGCAAAUAAGUAAAACAAAGCUGUGAGAAGUAGGGAAUAUGAAAAAAAUCUGUGUGCAUGCCCUCACCUUUGGGAAGAAGUCCUUUCUGAAGGCUCUCUUCUGAUUCUUUGAACCAACUCUUUAAUAAUUAAAGAAAAUUAUAGGUAAAAGACAAAUUCUUGUGAACUUUUGCUCAUUGCUAGAUUAUUAGCCAGAACUAUUUUUUUAAAAAUGUAAAUGAAACAACUUUAUAUUUUUAUAUCUUUAGAUCAUAUCAUUUUGUAACUCUACUUUAAGGAAAUAGAGGCCAGCGUAUUAAAACAGUAACUAGGGGCUGGACACAGUGGCUCAUACCUGUAAUCCUAGCACGUUGGGAAGCUGAGGUGGGUGGAUCAACUGAGGUCAGGUGUUUGAAACCAGCCUGGCCAACAUGGUGAAACCCCGCCUCUACUAAAAACACAGAAAUUAGCUGGACGUGGUGGUGCGUGCCUGUAAUCCCAACGACUCGGGAGGCUGAGGCAGAAUUGCUUGAACCCAAGAGGUGGAUGUUGCAGUGAGCUGAGAUCACACCACUGCACUCCAGCCUGGGGAACAAGAGCAAAACUCCAUCUCAAAAAAACCCCAACAAAACAAAAACAAAAAAAGCCCACAAAAAAAAAAAAAAACCCUCAGUAACUACGACUAACUAUAUGCUGUUUUAGAUUAACAGUGUUUUUUCUUUCUUUCUUUUUUUUUUUUUUUUUGAGACGAAGUCUUACUCUUUUCCCCCAGACUGGAGUGCAAUGGUGCAAUCUCGGCUCACUGCAACCGCUGCCUCCCCAGUCUAAGCACUUAUCCUGCCUCAGCACCUCCUCCCCCCGAGUAGCUGGGACUGCAGGUGCAUGCCACCACGCCUCACUAUUUUUUUUGUAUUUUUAGUAGAGACAGGGUUUCACCAUGUUGGCCAGGCUGGUCUCGAACUCCUGACCUCAGGUGAUCCGCCCACCUCAGCCUCCCAAAGUGCUGGGUUUACAGGUGUGAGCCACCACGCCCGGCCCUUUUUUUCUAAAAGAGAAUGAAUGCCAGUAGAUAUAGGAAGUAUCAGAGCCAAACUAUUGCCUGGUUAAAAGGAGUACCUCUGCAUAAUAGUUACUUGUCGACUCUUUUGUAAUAAAAUAUUUCAGGCAUGCAAAACUAGAGAGUCUCCCAACAAAUAACUGGUAUGCACCACGCCAUAUAAGAAGUAAAACAGUCCAGCUAGAGUGAAAGCUUCCUAUGUCCCCUUCUCUGGUCUCAUUCCCCUCCCUCCCUACCCUGGAGGUUACCACAGUUCUGAAUUUGGUGUGCAUGAUUUGAAGAUUUCUUUCUCCUUUUAUUGUAUGUAUAUAUCGAUAUAUAUAUUUGUGUAUAUAUAAAUCACUAAAAAAAGGUAUUGUUUUGGAUGUCUUUUCAACAUAAGGAAUGCUGUAUUCUGUGUAACCUUCUGCAACUUGCUUUUCCUCUCAUUGUUAUGUUUUUGGAAUUCAUCUUGUUGACACAUGUAACUUCAGUUCAUUUAUGUUUCCUUUUAAAAAAUCUUUAUUAGUUACAUUUACAAUGACUCAUUGUUGCAGUGCAGUAAAGAGACCCUUAUGCCAAAGGGAAGUAGGUGGCAUUUUUCCUUAUUUAUAUAGAAUGUCACAUGACUGGGGGACUGUUCGAAAUGUGUAUGAACAUUAAGAACACCUUUAUAGACAACAGAAUGCACACUUAUAUUCUGGAGGGUGCUAGGGAAUGUUUGAGCUAAUUCAUUGACUUUCAUGGGCUUUCUUUUUUUUCCUUUUAUUUUUUUGAGAUAGGGUCUUGCUCUGUCAGCCAGACUGGAGUGCAGUAGUCUGCUUAUGGCUCACUGUAGCCUCCACCUCUCGGGCUCAAACGAUCUUCCUGCCUCAGGUUCCCAAGUAGCUGGGAAUACAGGUGUGCAGCACCAAGCCUGGCUAAUUUUCUUUUUAAAAAUUUGUUGUGGAGAUAGUAUCUCAUUAUAUUGCCCAGCCUGGUCUCAAACUCUUGGGCUGAAGUUAUCCUCCCGCCUCAGCCUCCCAAAGUGUUGGGAUUACAGGUGUGAGCCACCACGCCCUGCCUUUUGUCAUCUUUUUUAAAAUGGAAAAUAUCAAAUAAGUGGAUAGAAUAAUGCAUUAAACCCUGAUGCACUUGCCAUUCAGGCUCAACAACCAUCAGUGCAUGGUUAAUUCUAUUCCAUCUACAUUUCCAUCUUUGUUCCCUCUCCCCUUUGUUAUUCUGAAGCAAGUCUUAAACAUCAGAUGGUUCAUAGGGCUUAUCUUUAAGGAAGGAACCAGGGUAGGCAGAAGGAAAUGGAAACAUACAGGGGUUUAAGUUGGGCAGAAAAGGUACCUGUGACCUAUGGUCAAAUGGCAAGACUGAUGAUGGUUCAAUACAGUCAAACCUUUGGCUGUCAUGGAGAUAGCUGGGCUUGAAAACUGAUUUAGAAUAGUUGGGAAACCUGUAGGGAGAUUGAAAAAGUUACCAACUGAAGACCAGGAAUACAAGUGGAUUCGAACAUUGUCCUAGUUUCACACUCCUAAGUAGGGGUUGUCCUAUUUUAAGGGUGUAGACAGUUGGGUUUGAGGAAAUCCUGAGUUGUAUUGCUAAUUAUUUAUAACUUACUUUUUUUUUUUGAGACAGAGUCUUGCUCUGUUUCCCACACUGGAGUGCAGUGGUGUGAGCUUGGCUCACCGCAACCUCCGCCUCCUGGGUUCAAGCAAUUCUUCCUGCCUCAGCCUCCCGAGUAGCUGGGACUAUAGUCACCCGCCACCAUGCCCAGCUAAUUUUUAUAUUUUUCAGUAAAGACAGGAUUUUGCCAUGUUGGCCAGGCUGGUUUUGAACUCCUGACUUCAGGUGAUCUGCCACCCUCAGCAUCGCAAAGUGCUGGGAUUACAGGUGUGAGCCACUGCGCCUAGCCUGCUUAUAACUUUAAAAAGAGAAAGGGGUUUUUCAAACUUUCUGUUGUUUUGCAUAGGCAAGUUUCUCUUGUUUUGUAUUCAUGGCAUGCUAUUCUUCAUACUUAUCUAUUGGUGGGCAACUAAUUAACCUGAGUUGCUCAGGACUGGAGAGUUUCCUGGGGCAUGGAACUUCAGUCUUCAGAUAGUCCUAAGCAAACUGGGAUGGUCACCCCCUCUCUUGGUUGCUGCAUUAGUUAUCUAUUGCCCUAUAAUGAGUUACCACAAACUUAGCAGCUUAAAGCAGCACACAGUUAUUCUCUCCCAGUUUCUGUGGGUCAGGAAUCUGGACAUGGCUCAGCUGGGUCCUCAGCUCAGAGUUUCAUAAAGCCACAAUCAAGGUGUCUGGAGCUUGGAGACCUCUGUGGAGGUCCAACACUUGGUUGCAGAAUUCAGUUUCUUGUGAUGUUGAAACAGAGGCUCUCAACUUUGAGGCCUCCUGCAGUUCUGUCCACAUGGCCUUCUCCAUAGGCAAUUCGCAGCAUGGCUGUUGGCUUCUACAAGGCCAGCAGGAGAGUGACUCUCUCCAGUCAGCUCAGACAAGUGGCAUUCCAUCACCUUUGCCAUAGUCUGUUAGAAGCAAAUCACAGGUUCUGUCUGCUCUCAAGGGGAAGGGAUUAUACAAAAGCACAGAGACCAGGAGGUGAGAAUUUUGGGGUGGAUACCUUAAAGAUCUUUCCACCACAAUUGCUUUCCAGGAUUUGUCUGAAGUAGAAAAUUAUUCUGUUUAGCCUUUUGUGGCCAGAAUAUAUGUAUGUUUUGCUCAGCCACUAAUUUAGAAUUCCUUUAUCUUUUUAAGAAACAUUUUCAUGCAUAAUUCAUCCUAAGUAGAACUGGCAAAAAUGUAACUUUGUAGGUAUUUUCAAUUUUAGUCUUUAGGCAAUUGUUUUUCUUCUUAACUAGUAGAAGGCAGGAAAAAAAAGUGGAAAAGCAGAUGUGAAUGCCCUGCCUGGCUACUCCUGAACGCAGUGCUCUAAAUCAGGCCUUCUCAACCUGGGUUGGUUCAGGGGGCUGUGAAGGUAGAUGUGGAAAAGAACUACAUCUUUUUUUUUUUUUUGAGAAAAGCUCUUGCUCUGUCACCCAGGCUGAGUGCAGUGGCACAAUCUUGGCUCACUGCAACCUCUGCCUCCUGGGCCCAAAUGAUCCUCCUAUCUCAGUCUUCCGAGUAGCAGGGACUACAGGUGUACGCUAUCACACCCAGCUAAUUUUUGUAUUUUUUGUCGAAACAGGGUUUUGCCAUGUUGCCCAGGCAACAGGGUUCACCAUUUUUGGUUAAAUGACAGCAGUGCUGCUGGCAAGUCCAUGGUCAAGAGUGAGAUUCCCUCAAGCUGCUAUGGUCUCUCCUCCUCCAGUCUGUCCUGCAGGAAGCCCAGAGUGGAUGGACGCUCAGCUGUUUGCUCUGAGGCCUCACCAGGGACAGUUCCUACAGCCCCGGCUGAGCUUUGCUCCCGACCUUUUUAUCUGGCCUUCUCAGCUGUGCUUCACUGCGAAGGCGUAAGGACAAGCCCCUCUGGAGCAAGUGGCAGCUGCUUUUUGGGCCGGUUUUAUUUACUAAUACUGUCUCUACUUCAGAGACUUGGGCUAGAAUGUAGACUUGAAGAAAAAAGUUAUUUUAACAGACUUGAGAAACUUAAUCAUCCUCAUAAUAUCAUUCAGAACUAGGAGAGGCCAUUAUUAACAUUAGGCUAGUAGGAAAUGUUCACUUUGACUGAAUUCAUUUGUAACACUUUGCUACUGGUUUACAGAAAAAUACUUUGGUUCAGUCUCCUUGAGGUAGGUAAUUAAAUGUUUCACCUGUGUUAAUUUUCCAACGAAUUAAAGUGAAUCCCAUAAAUUCCAGCAAUUAAGAAUUGUUGUUUUUGGCUGGGUGUGGUGGCUCAUGCCUGUAAUCACAGCACUUUGGGAGGCUGAGGUGGGCAGAUCACUUGAGGCCAUGAGUUUGAGGCCAACCUGGGUAAAAUAGGGAGACCCUGUCUCUACAAAAAAUACAAAAAUUAACUGAGCUUGGUGGCACAUGCCUAUAGUCCCAGCUACUUGGGAGGCUGAGGCAAGAGAAUUGCUUGAAUAUAGGAGGCAGAGAUCACAGUCAGCCGAGAUUGUGCGACCGUACUUUAGCCUAGGCGACAGAGCAAGAUUAUGUCUCAAAAAAAAAAAAAAAAGGAUUGUUUCUUAAGUGCAGGCUUUCUGAUAUAUGUAGGGUUUGCCUCGUGCCUUCUAAAAAGCAUAUUUAAUACAAUAAUCUCUUUGUCUAUCCUUUACUUCGGAGUCAGCUUUGUGAAAAAUGGAUGAUGAUACACCAACGGUUUUGCCCUUGGAGGUGUUUGGUGUGCUCUGCUUUUUGAGUUUUUUAAAGUUUUUUAAAAAUUAUUUUAAAAUGUUUUGACUCACCUUUGCAUAAUCUCUGGUACCCUUAUAUACCCAGUACUGAAUAAAGCAUGUAAAAUUUAGCAUGCGGAUGUUUUAGCCUCUUUUAUUCUAUAUUGUAGAUCAAGAUAUUUUAGUCUCAGCACUACUGACACUUUGGGGCUAUAUCAUUCUUUGUUGUGGAGGACUGUCCUGUGCAUUAUGGGUUGUCAGGUAACAUCCCUGGUCUCUACCCACAUGAUGCCAGUAGCUAUUCUUUUCCUGGUGUGACAACAAAAAAUGUUUUCAGACAUUGUCAGAUGCCUCCUGGGGGCAAAAUUUAGUUCUACAUACAUGAUGAUAACAACCAUGAUAGCAGCCAACACUUGUUCACUGAUUACCAUGUAUUUGGUUUUAUCAUAUAAUUUGUAAAAUGUUCAUCAUUUAAUUCUCACAACUAAACCAUAAGAUAGUUAUUGUGUCAUCCCCAUUUUGAAGAAAACAAAAGCUGAGGCACUGAGGUUCAUUUACUUGGCCAAGGUCACAUAGAUGAAGUGACUUCUUGAAAUACCUUUCAUUUUAUAUAUAUAUACACACAUAUAUAUAUAUAUAUACACACAUAUAUACACAUAUAUACACAUAUAUCCAUAUAUAUAUGUGUAUAUAUAUGUAUAUAUAUGGAUAUAUGUGUAUAUAUAUGGGUUAAAUCUCAGUCUUGAUUGAGGAGACAGGCUAAAAAAGAAUGUGAAAGUAGGGAAUUUUCUGGUAAUGUCUCAAUGGAGAGGCUAUUGCUUUCAUAGCAAUUCUGCGUAAAUGCUGGGAUUCUCGCUUAAAGUGCGUGAUUCCAUGGGCAUGUGUCUUAGUAAGGGACUUGGGUCAUUUCUAAGAAAUUUCUGUGGCAUGGUGAAGCAGAACAUAAGACAGUCUAGGGUCAAGGAUAACUGAUCAAACCUUGAAACCAAGGAAGCUAUCGGAAAUUGGGGUAAGGCUGUGUAUCACUCAGGGUCCCACAGGAAAUGGCAUGCUCAAAGGGUUUUAGUGGAAACAGGAAUGUUUAGCCAUGAAGGGACUAUAGAAGGAAGCUAUUGCCAUCCCUAGACCUGGAGGGGCGAAGGAAGGGAAUGUCGUUGCUGGAGCUGUGAAAGGUACUCCCUCUACAGGAACAAUGGUCAUAAAAGCAUAUAGCCUUUGCCAGAACUAUGGCCAGAGAGGGGCUAAUGGGAUGAGGGGAUGGGGGAGAAGUAACCAGUUUCUGUUUCCUGCCCUCUGAUUUGCUUUAGUACCUCUCAUUGUACUAACCCAACUAGAAGCCAGAGGCAACAGAGUCUGGGUGUUGAAGCUUAUUGAGGUUAGCCUCUUGGGCUGAGUGGAUGAAAAAGGCUAAGAGUGGUUCUAGGGGGCAAAUGGAGUAAAACACCACCACAGGCUACAAGUAGGAGUGGGAAACACUACCCUGGAUCCUAAGGAGGAUGGGGCAUGGCCAGUGGUAGGACCAAGAAAAGUAUUUUUGUGCCAAAAAGAGCCUGGCGAUAUAGACCUCCGAGAAGAAGAGAGGGUUGGAUAGGAGUAACUGGUUCAUCUGAAGUUCUUCCUAAUUCUCCAGGGAAGCCUUGAGGAAUGUGGGGUUGUCUGCAUUUGGAUAUGGAGGUAUGUAUGUGUGUAUACUUUUUUUUAUUUUGAGACAGGGUCUUGUUCUGUCACCCAGGCUGGAGUGCAGUGGCACCAUCACAGCUCACUGCAGCCUCUACCUCCUGGACUCAAGUGGUCCUCUCACCCAGGCCCCCCACGUAGCUGGGACCACAGGCAUGCAUCACCAUACUCGGCUGAUUUUUAAAUAUUUUGUUGAGACAGGGUCUCACUAUAUUCCCUUGGUUGGCCUUGGACUCCUGGGCCCAAGUGAUUCUCUCACUUUGACCUCCAGAAGUGCUAGGAAUACAGAUGUGAGUCACUGCACCCAACCUAUAUGCAUACUUUAUGGUCAGAGUGAGGCUUUCUAUGAGUUGGAGUGUUUGUCUUUAUUCAUGACAUUGGGAAACAUAUAACAAUAGAGUGACCCUCUUGCAGAUUCUGCUAGGAGUAGCUACAUAUGGUGGGAAAGGUUGCCAUGGGAAUGGAUAUAAAUUCAAGGCAGAAGAGAGUAUUUUAUAAUGUUUGGGGGUAUGGCCAAGCAUUAGUUUUGCUUUUUCCUUCCCUAUAGGGUAGGAUUUCUGUAGGAAUUUUCCUUACCCAAAAAUAGCUAUAUGUGCUCCUGAAAAGAAAGCCAGGACCAGAUGACUUCAUGGCUGAAUUCUACCAAACAUUCAAAGGAGAGCUAAUACUAAUCCUUCUUAAACUCUUCCAAAAAACAGAGGGAGUACUUCCAAACUCAUUUUUUUGAGGCCAGCAUCACCUUGAUCCCAAAGCCAGAUAAAGAUACCAUAAGAGAAGAAAACAUCAGGUCAGUAUGUCUGAUGAAAAUAGAUGCAAAAAUCCUAAAUAAAAUGCUAGCAGACCAAAUUUAACAACACCUCAAAAAGAUUAUGCACCAUGACCAAAGUGGCACUUAUCCCUGAGAUGCAAGAUUGGUUUAAUGUAUAUAAAACAAUGAGUGUAAUAUGCCACAUUACUGAAAUAAGAGAUAAAAGACAAGCAAGAUGCAAUGGCUCAUGCCUAUAAUCCCAGCACUUUGGAAAGCUGAGGUGGGAGGAUUGUUUGAGGCCAGGAAUUCAAGACCAGCCUGGGAAACAUAGUGAGACACUGUCUCUACAAAAAAUAAAUUAAAAAAAACAGCUGGGUAUAGUGACAUGUGCCUGUAGUCCUGCUACUUAGGAGGCUGAGGCAGGAGGAUCACUGGAACCCAGGAUUUUGAGGCUGCAGUGAGCACUGAUUGUGCCACUGCACUCUAACCUGGGCAACAGAGUGAGACCCUGUCUCUAAAGAAAAAAGAGAGGAAAAACUUAUGAUCAUUUCGCCACAUGUAGAAAUGGCAUUUGACAAAGUUCAACAGCUUUUCAUCAUAAACAUUUUCAACAAAAUAGGUUUAAAAGGAAAUUUCCUCAACACAUUAAAGACCAUUUAUGUAAAGUCCACAGCUAGUGUCAUAAUCAGUAGGGGAAAACGGAAAGAUUUGGUACAAAGCAAGGAUGCCCACUCUUGCCACUUUUAUUCAACACAGCACUGGAAGUACUAACAUGAGCUAUCACACAACAAAAAGAAAUAAAAGGGAUCUAAACUGGAAAAGAAGUAAAAUUAUCCCUGUUUGUAAAUGUCAUGAUCCUGUAUGUAGAAAGCCCUGAAGACUUUACAAAAGGCCUCUUAAAAGUAAUAAAUGAAUUCAGUAAAGUUGCAGGAUACAAGAUCAGCAUACAAAAAUUAUGAGGGGCAUUUCUUUACACCAAUAAUAGUCUAUCUGAAAAAGAAAUCAAGAAAACUGUCCCAUUUAUCAUAGUAUAAAAAUAAUAAAAUACUUAGUACAUUUAACCAAGGAAGUGAAAGAUCUGUACAUUCAACAUUAAUAUUGAUGAAAGAAAUUGAAGACACAAAUAAAUGGGAAGAUAUCCCAUGUUUAUGCAUUGAAAAAAUUAAUAGUGUUAAAUUGCACACUACCCAAAGCAAUAUACAGGCUCAAUGCAAUCCCCAUCAAAAUCCAAAUAGCAUUUUUCACAGAAAUAGAAAAAACAAUUCUAAAAUUAGUAUGAUAUGACAAAAGACCUAGAAUAGCCAAAAGAAUCUUGAGGAAGAGCAACAAAGUUAGAGGCAUCUCACUUCCUUAUUUCAGAUUAUACUACAUUAUAAAGCAAUAGAAAUCAAGAUAGUAUAUCCUGGCAUAAAAACAGACAUACAGAUCAAUAGAAUAGAACAGAUCCCAGAAAUAAACCCAAGUAUAUACAGUCAACUAAUUUUUGACAAGGCCAUCAAAGAGACACAGUGGGGAAAGGAUAGUCUCUUCAAUAAAUCAUAUCAGGAAAACUGGAUAUUCACAGGCAAAAUAAUGAAACUGGACGCUUAUAUAAAAAAAAUCAACUCAGAAUUUGUUUUUAAAAUAUACAACAAAACCUGAAAAAGGAAAAGAAGACCUAAAUGUUAAUAACUCAAACCAUGAAACUCCUAGAAGAAAGCAUAGGGGAAAAGCUCCUUGAUAUUGGCCUUGGCAAUGAUUUUUUGGACAUCACACCAAAAGCACAGGCAACAAAAGCAAAAAUAAACAAGUUUUACAUCAAACUAAAAAGCUUCUGCAUGGCAAAGGGAACAAUCUACAAGUGAAAGGGCAGCCUAUGGAUUUGGAGAAAAUAUUUGUGACCCAUAUAUAUAUGAUAAGGAGCUAAUAUCUAAAAUAUAUAAAGAACUUCCAGAACUCAAUAGUAGGAAAAUGAAUAACUCAAUUAAAAAAUAGGCAAAGGACUUGAUUAUUCAUUUUUUCCACAGAAGCUUUACAAAUGGCCAACAGGUUAUAAAAAGAUACUCAACAUCACUAAUCAUCAGGGAAAUGCAAAUCAAAACCACUAUGAGAUAUCAGCUCACACCUUUUAGAAUGGGUAUUAGAAAGGUAAGAGAUAAUGAGUGUUAGGGUGUGGAGAAAAGGGAAUCCUUUUAUACUUUUGGUGGGAAUGUAGAUUGGUACAGCCAUUAUGGAAAACAGUAUAGAAGUUCCUUAAAAAAUUAAAAGUAGAACUGCGGUUCUAGGUGCUUUGGGAGCCACGGCUUAGAUGCAGACAUGGCCAAGUCGAAGAAUGACACCACACACAACCAGUCCUGAAAAUGGCACAGAAAUGGUAUCACGAAACUCCGAUCACAAAGGUAUGAAUCUCUUAAGAGGGUGGACCUCAAGUUCCUGAGGAACAUGCGCUUUGCUAAGAAGCACACCAAGAAGGGCCUAAAGAAGAUGCAGGCCAACAAUGCCAAGGCCAUGAGUGCAUGUGCCGAGGCUAUCAAGGUCCUCGUAAAGCCAGAGGAAGUUAAGCCCAAGAUCCCAAAGGGUGUCAGCUGCAAGCUCGAUUGACUUGCCUACAUUGCCCACCCAAGCUUGGGAAGCAUACUCAUGCCUGCAUUGCCAAGGGGUUCAGGCUCUGCUGGUGAAAGGCCAAGGCCAAGCAUGAAACCAAGGCCCAGGCUGCAGCUGUAGCUUCAGUUCCAGCUCAGGCUCCCAAAGAUGCCCAGGCCUCUACAAAGGCUUUGGAGUAGAUAUCCCUGUAUGCCAAUGUGAGAACAGAAGAGCUAGUAUGAACCCCUGGGCUGCCAUCUGCAUGGGGUUGGGGUCCUCCUGUACUAUUUGUACAAAUAAACCUGAGGCAGUUAAAAAAAUUUAAAAGUAGAACUACCAUAUGAUUCAGCAAUUCCUCUGCUGGGUAUGUACCCAAAGGAAAUGAAGUCAGUGUGUCAAAAAGAUAUCUAUACUUCUGUGUUCCUUGUAGCAUUAUUCACAAUAGCCAAGAUAGGGAAACAAUUUAAGUGACUGUUGAUUGAUGAGUGGCUAAAAAUAUUGUGGCAUACACACACACACACACACACACACACACACACACACACGAUAGAAUAUUAUUCAGCCUUAAAAAAGGAGAUCCUGCUAUUUGUGACAACAUAUAUGAACUUAUGCUAAGUAAAAUAAAUGAGAUACAGAAAGAAAAAUCCUGCAUGAUCUUACUUAUCUGGAACCUGAAAAAGAGUCAAAUACAUAGAAACAGAAUAGAGCUAUGGUCACCAAGGGAGGAAAUGGGGAGAUGUAAGACAAAGGGUACAGACUUGCAGUUAUGUAGGCUAAAUAAGUCUAGAGGUGUAAUGUACAGCAGGAGGACAAUAGAUAAUAAUAUUGUAUUAUAUAUGGAAAAUGUGCUAAGAGUGGAUUUUAGGUACUCUUACCUCUUCUCCACACGAAGGUAACAAUGGAAGGUAAUGAGUAGGUCAGAUUGCUUACUGGUAGUUAUCAUUUCACUAUGGAUAUAUAUAUCAAAACAUCAUGUUGUACAUGUUAAAUUUAUGCCAUAAAAAAUAGCUAUAUGUGGGCCAGUUCAGGCACAGUGGCUCAUGCCUGUAAUCCCAGCAUUUUGGGAGGUUGAGGCAGGAGGAUUACUUGAGGCCAGGAAUUCAAGACUAGCCUGGGCAAUGUAGUGAGACACCCAUCUCUACAAAAAGAAAGUUUAAAAAUUAGCUAUUUGUGGUGGUGCAUGCCUGUGAUCCAACCUACUUAGGAGGGUGAGGCAAGAGGAUUGCUUGAGACCGAGAGGUCGAGGCUACAGUGAGCUGUGAUUGCCACUGCACUCCAGCCUAGGUGACAGAGCAAGACCCUGUCCCUUAAAAAAGAGAUUAAAAAAUAGCUGUAUUCAUAUAUGUAUACAUUCAGGAUUUGUUCUAUUUGUUUUCAUUUUCUUUUUUAUUCAUAGGCAGUGGUCAAUGGCCUAAGGAUUUCUUUAUACAUUGCUCAAAUCUGCUAAGUCUCUAUUGAGCAAACCAGGCCUUAAAAACCUUGCAAUCCUCUUCAUAUAUUUUAAAGGCAAAUGCAAAGAAAUAGCUUUGUUCUGUUUUGCAUUCUUCAUGGGUUAGCAUAUCUUCUGGAAAACUUGUUGCUAUGGCAAUAGGAUAUUAUCUAUCUCUGUAGUGUACUACACAAAAAUAGCCCUUUGUGUUUGGGAAUGAUGUUAGUGACAGGUGGUUGGGUGAAUGUAUAGCAGGCUGCUUUGUCAAGAGUAGUUUCCCAACAUUCCAUUGUUUAAAGUUGUGAAAUUAAAAUGAGUAUUAGUUUUUUUUUCUCUCUCAAAUGUGAUUUUAUCUGGAAAAGGCAGGCAGUGGUGCUCUGUUUUGAAUUACAAGCCUUCCUUUGCAUGUCAGGUCAAUAUGAUGAUUGAAGCCACCUCUCAACUGUAAUAAGUAAAUGACUUCUCUUUCUGUCAGGGUGUGCAGCACAAGGUUGUGCUGUGGGGGCCGAUAGGGAUAAUUUUCUCAUUCACAUGGUUCUUCCUAAGCACCUCUUACAUAUAAACCAAGAAGUAGGAAGUAGUCAGGUGGAAGAGAUGAGUUCUUAGCUGUUAAUCAAAUCCGAAUACCUUGUAGGUUCUUAGGUGGAACCACUCCUUGGGAAAGGUCAGAUAUUUAUGUUGCUUUUAGUAUUGACCUCAUACAUGUAGCCAAGGAUAGAAUCUGACCCAGAUCUUAAUUUUUCCUUUGAAAAAUCCUUUGGGCAAUUUCUUAGAGCAGUAACUCUCAAACGUUUUGUCAUCAUCCUCUCAGCUUUCUUCUAGAAAUUUGUCUUAUCGAAAUGAGUAUUGAUUUAAUUGUAAUGAAUAAAUAACAGCUUCCUGCUACUGAAAUGAAAUUUACUCUAGCUUUCAGAAUUUGAGACCCUCUUAAGAAAAUACUGCAGCUGGAAAUUUUAGACUUAAAAGUAAUACAGUUUGAGUAACCCAUAUCUGAAAUGCUUGAGACCAGAAGUGUUUUGGAUUUUGGAUUUUUUCAGACUUUGGAAUAUUUGCAUUUACAUAAUGAGAUAUCUUGGGGAUGGGACACAAGUCUAAACAAAAUAUUCAUUAAUGUUUUAUAUAUACCUUAUAGACAUAGCCUAAAGGUAAUUUUAUACAAUAUUUUAAGUAAGUUUGUACAUGGAACAAAGUUUCAACUGUGUUUUGACUAUGACCUGUCACAUGAGGUCAGGUGCAGAUUUUUUCAUUUGUGACCUCAUGUUAGCACUCAGAAACAUUCACAUUUUGGAGCAUUUUGGAUUUCAGAUUAGGGAUGUCUAAUCUGCAGCUUCAAUUCUGAAGCAGAAAUGGAACCAUUGCCUUUGUUUUUUCUGUUGGAGUCAAUAUCAGUAUGGAUAUCUUGCUACUAAUACUAUCAGAAGAAAGUGUUGGGUGGUUUGCUGGGUAUCAAAUACUAGUUUUAGAACUUUUUAUGUAUUAACUCAUUUAAUUUCUGUAAACAUUCUUGACAGUUUUUGUGAUUAUUUCCCAGAUAAGGCAUACUUUUUAGCAUGCCUUUCUGUUUCUAGUGAGUAAGUAUUCUUGUGUAUUGGAAGACUUGCUUACUAAUAUGUCGAAGUGUUGUUCAUAUUGAAAGCAUUCUUCUGUCAGUAUUCUUGUGUAUUGGAAGACUUGCUUACCAGUAUGUUGAAGUGUUCUUCAUAUUGAAAGCAUUCUUCUAUUAGGAGUUGACAUAAUUUGGCCUGUAGGCCAAAUCCAUCCUGCCAUCCAUUUUUUGUAUGUUUUAUAAGCUAAGAAUGGUUUCUGCAUUUUUAAAUGGUUGGGAACAAAUAAAAAGAAUAAUUUGUGACAUGUGAAAAUUACAUGAAAUUUAAAUUUCAGUUUCCAUAAACAGUUUUAUAGGAACACAGCCACACUCCUUUGUUUACAUAUUGCUUAUGGUGCUUUCAAAUUAAAGUGGCAGAGUUGAGCAGUUGUAAUAGAGACCAUAUAGGCCCCAGACCCUAAGAAAAAGUUUGCCAAUCUCUUUUCUAUAUUCUUCUACAUCUAGAAUGGGAGAUGGUCCUCAAUAGUAAAAGCAGAUUAGCCAGGUAUGGUAGCUUACGCCUGUAAUCCCAGCGUUUUGAGAUGCCAAGGUUGGAGGAUCACUUGAGCCAGAGUUCAAGACCAGCCUGAGCAAUACUGUGAGACCUAUCUCUACAAAAAUUAGCCAGGUGUGAUGGUGCACGCUGGUGGUCCCAGCUACUUGGGAAGCCAAAGUGGGAGGAUUGCUUGAGCCUGGGAGGUCAAGGCUGCAGUAAGACAUGAUCACACCAUUGCACUAUAACCUGGGUGACAGAGUGAGACCCUGUCUCAAAAAAAGUAUAUACAUGGGCUGGGCACAGUGGCUCAUGCCUGUAAUCCCUGCACUUUGGGAGGCCAAGGAGGAUGGAUUAUGGGGUCAGGAGUUCAAGACCAGCUUGGCCAAGAUGGUGAAACCCCGUCUCUACUAAAAAUACAAAAAAAUUAGCCAGGUACGGUGGUGGGUGCCUGUAAUCCUGGUUACUUGGGAGGCUGAGGCAGAGAAUUGCUUGAACCCGGGAGGUGGAGGUUGCAGUGAGCCAGGUUCGUGCCACUGCACUCCAGCCUGGGUGACAGAGUGAUUCUCUGUCUCAAAAAUAUAUACCUGUACAUAAGUUGAAUCUGUGUAUAUAUAUGUAUGGAGUGUAGUGGCAUGAUCUUGGCUCACUGCAGCCUCUGCCUCUCAGGUUCAAGCAAUUCUCCUGCCUUGGCCUCCUGAGUAGCUGGGAC